GUACUUUUGUCGCGCUGCGGUUCCGGGACGGGAGUCGACCGUCCGGGAUUAAAUGGGAAUGCCGUGCAAAUCGGCAACAGUUCCCGCUGCUGUAAGUUACGUGUACGGUCCGGCACUCUCGGCCACUGCCCCACGGGGCGGGAAGGCGCCCGACCGGUAACGAGUCAGAAGACCUGCCGCGGCAUUCCGGUCCGA
rnacentral:ncRNA from 2 species